GACGAACGCUGGCGGCGUGCCUAACACAUGCAAGUCGAACGAGGUCCAUGCAGUGGCAACACUGCGGAGGACCUAGUGGCGAACGGGUGAGUAACACGUGAGGAACUUGCCCCGGAGACCGGGAUAACCCUCCGAAAGGAGAGCUAAUACCGGAUGUCCUCACCGAGUCGCAUGGCUUGGUGAGGAAAUGGAUUCCGCUCCGGGAGAGCCUCGCGGCCUAUCAGCUUGUUGGCGGGGUAACGGCCCACCAAGGCAUCGACGGGUAGCUGGUCUGAGAGGAAGAUCAGCCACACUGGGACUGAGACACGGCCCAGACUCCUACGGGAGGCAGCAGUGGGGAAUCUUGCGCAAUGGGCGAAAGCCUGACGCAGCAACGCCGCGUGCGGGAUGAAGGCCCUCGGGUUGUAAACCGCUUUCAGUGGGGACGAACCAAGACGGUACCCACAGAAGAAGCCCCGGCCAACUACGUGCCAGCCGCCGCGGUAAAAC
rnacentral:rRNA from 1 species